rnacentral:rRNA from 1 species
UAUGAGAGUUUGAUCCUGGCUCAGGACGAACGCUGGCGGCGUGCCUAAUACAUGCAAGUCGAACGCUUUUUCUUUCAUCGGAGCUUGCUCCACCGAAAGAAAAAGAGUGGCGAACGGGUGAGUAACACGUGGGUAACCUGCCCAUCAGAAGGGGAUAACACUUGGAAACAGGUGCUAAUACCGUAUAACACUAUUUUCCGCAUGGAAGAAAG